GAUGAACGCUGGCGGCGUGCCUAAUACAUGCCAGUCGAGCGAACAGACGAGGAGCUUGCUCCUCUGACGUUAGCGGCGGACGGGUGAGUAACACGUGGAUAACCUACCUAUAAGACUGGGAUAACUUCGGGAAACCGGAGCUAAUACCGGAUAAUAUAUUGAACCGCAUGGUUCAAUAGUGAAAGACGGUUUUGCUGUCACUUAUAGAUGGAUCCGCGCCGCAUUAGCUAGUUGGUAAGGUAACGGCUUACCGAGGCGACGAUGCGUAGCCGACCUGAGAGGGUGAUCGGCCACACUGGAACUGAGACACGGUCCAGACUCCUACGGGAGGCAGCAGUAGGGAAUCUUCCGCAAUGGGCGAAAGCCUGACGGAGCAACGCCGCGUGAGUGAUGAAGGUCUUCGGAUCGUAAAACUCUGUUAUUAGGGAAGAACAAAUGUGUAAGUAACUAUGCACGUCUUGACGGUACCUAAUCAGAAAGCCACGGCUAACUACGUG
rnacentral:rRNA from 1 species